CAAAUACUCCCUCCGUGCCAAAAUUCUUGUCUUAGAUUUGUCCAGAUACGGAUGUAUCUAGUCACAUUUUAGUGUUAGAUACAUCCGUAUCUAGACAAAUCUAAGACAAGAAUUUUGGGGUGGAGGUAAUACAAA
rfam:Triticum aestivum genome assembly, contig: Triticum_aestivum_CS42_TGACv1_scaffold_361035_4DS